UACGUAGGGUGCGAGCGUUGCCCGGAUUUAUUGGGCGUAAAGGGUGCGUAGGCGGUCGCGCAAGUCGGAUGUGAAAUCUCAGGGCUCAACCCUGAAACUGCAUUCGAUACUGCGUGGCUAGAGUGCUGGAGAGGAGACUGGAAUUUACGGUGUAGCAGUGAAAUGCGUAGAUAUCGUAAGGAAGACCAGUGGCGAAGGCGAGUCUCUGGACAGCAACUGACGCUGAGGCACGAAGGCCAGGGGAGCAAACGGG
rnacentral:rRNA from 1 species